rnacentral:rRNA from 1 species
GACGAACGCUGGCGGCGUGCUUAACACAUGCGAGUCGAACCGAAAGGCCCUGCUUUUGUGGGGUGCUCGAGUGGCGAACGGGUGAGUAACACGUGAGUAACCUGCCCUUGACUUUGGGAUAACUUCAGGAAACUGGGGCUAAUACCGGAUAGGAGCUCCUGCUGCAUGGUGGGGGUUGGAAAGUUUCGGCGGUUGGGGAUGGACUCGCGGCUUAUCAGCUUGUUGGUGGGGUAGUGGCUUACCAAGGCUUUGACGGUUAGCCGGCCUGAGAGGGUGACCGGCCACAUUGGGACUGAGAGACGGCCCAGACUCCUACGGGAGGCAGCAGUGGGGAAUAUUGCACAAUGGGCGGAAGCCUGAUGCAGCAACGCCGCGUGCGGGAUGACGGCCUUCGGGUUGUAAACCGCUUUCGCCUGUGACGAAGCGUGAGUGACGGUAAUGGGUAAAGAAGCACCGGCUAACUACGUG